GAUAGGUGGCCAAAUACUUUUGGCAAUAUAGUGUAUGAAUGAUUCCGACGUUGAAGAAGAAGUGUUUUGUUGUUUUGAUGGAAAAAAUUUAAAGACUCAAACCAAUAGCGAUCCUAAAAAUCAGAAGCAUUCUGGAUGGGAGAAAAGGAUGAGACAGAACCUGCAGAAAAACUGGUAAAGAAGAGCAGACCCAGCACUUAAAAACAAGAGAAAAAGAAAUUCAGGAGUAAUAAUGCAGUUCCCUUAUUGGACCAUCAAUGCUCAAAUCAAGGAGACAUAAGAAGCUGGGUGUGGCCCAACAAAACAUGUCCGCAGUCCGUGUCGUCAUGGUUACAAGUGGUGCACGCGCAGUUUUUGGCCACAGGGUAAGUGACAGCCACUGGGCAACCUUCGAAGUGUUUCACUUCGUAGGACCAAUCUCCGUUGCAGACGUUCUGUUUGGACACGUCCACAGGGACCUCGUAGACUGAAUCCUGCAGACAAAUGACAACAGCACAUUUUCCCUGUUAUACAUCAAAAAAACCUGGAGAUGCCCCGAUUCCGAUCGUGGGGUUUGGAUCAGAGGCCGAUAUUUACAGGUCGGCUGAUGAGCUGCCGAGCCCAGCAGAUCUUUACCACAGCUGUGUCUCAGUGUUUACAUGCUAAAGAUUGGACUCGCUGCAGAUUUGGUCACACGGGGAAGACCCAGGACACGUUGGGAAGACUAUCUCUCCCGGCUAGCCUGGGAACGCCUCGGGAUCCCCCGGGAGGAGCUGGACGAAGUGGCUGGGGAGAGAGAAGUCUGGGCUUCCCUGCUUAGGCUGCUGCCCCCGCGACCUGACCUAGGAUAAGCGGAAGAAGAUGGA